GGUUCGAUCCUGGCUCAGAUUGAACGCUGGCGGGAUGCUUUACACAUGCAAGCUUGAACGGCAGCACGGACUUCGGUCUGGUGGCGAGUGGCGAACGGGCAGAGUAAUGUAAUGAACUGCCUAGUAGCGGGGAUAAUUACGCGAAAGGUAGCUAAUACGUAUACGCCCUCUUCGGGGGAAAGCGGGGACCUUCGGGCCCUCGCACCAUUAGAGCGGCCGAUAUCGGAUUAGCUAGUUGGGUGGGGUAACGGCUCACCAAGGCGACGAUCCGUAGCCGGUUUGAGGACCAGCCACACCGGGACUGGAGACACGGUCGAGACUCCUACGGGAGGCAGCAGUGGGGAAUUCUGACAAUGGGGAAACCCUGAUCCAGCCAUCCCGCGUGUGUGACAAAGUACCUUCGGCCGUAAAGCACUUUGGCAGGAAAGAAACGGCACGGGGAUAAUACCCUGUGCAACUGACGGUACCUGCAGAAUAAGCACCGGCUAACUACGUGCCAGCAGCCGCGGUAAUACGUAGGGUGCAAGCGUUAAUCGGAAUUACUGGGCGUAAAGUGUGCGCAGGCGGUUCGGCAGCAAUAUGUGAAAUCCCAGAGCCAACUUUGGAACUGCAUUUUUAACUACCGAGCUAGAGUGUGUCAGAGGGAGGUGGAAUUCCGCGUGUAGCAGUGAAUGCGUAGAUAUGCGGAGGAACACCGAUGGCGCAGCCUCCUGGGAUAACACUGACGCUCAUGCACGAAAGCGUGGGGAUGAAACAGAUUAGAUACCCUGGUAGUCCACGCCCUAAACGAUGUCAACUAGCUGUUGGGGCCUUCGGCCCUGGUAGCGCAGCGCUAAUCGUGGUGAAGUUGACCGCCUGGGGAGUACGGUCGCAAGAUUAAAACCAAAGUGAAUGACAGACCCGCACAAGCGUGGAUGAUGUGGAUUAAUUCGAUGCAACGCGAAAAACCUUACCUACCCUUGACAUGUCUGGGAAAUCCCUGAAGAGAUUUGGGAGUGCUCGCAAGUAGAACCGGAACACAGGUGCCAUUGAUUUGGUCAGCUCGUGUCGAGAUGUUGGGUUAAGUCCCGCAACGAGCGCAACCCUUGUCAUUAGUUGCUACGAAAGGGUACUCUAAUGACUGCCGCGACAAACGGAGGAAGGUAUGACGUUUGUCCUCAUGGCCCUUAUGGUAGGCUUCACACGUCAUACAAUGGUCGGGACAGAGGGAAGGUCGCCAACCCGCGAGGGGGAGCCAAUCCUGCAGAAACCCGAUCGUAGUCCGAUCGCAGUCUGCAACUCGGACUGCGUGAAGUCGGAAUCGCCAGUAAUCGUGAUCAGCAUGUCGCGGUGAAUACGUUCCCGGGUCUUGUACACACUGCCCGUCACACCAUGGGAGUGGGUUUUACCAGAAGAAGCAGCUCAACCGUAAGGAUAUGAUUACCAAGGUAGGAUUCAUGACUGGGGUGAAGUCGUAACAAGGUAA
rnacentral:rRNA from 1 species